rnacentral:rRNA from 1 species
GGUUAAGCGACUAAGCGUACACGGUGGAUGCCCUGGCAGUCAGAGGCGAUGAAGGACGUGCUAAUCUGCGAUAAGCGUCGGUAAGGUGAUAUGAACCGUUAUAACCGGCGAUUUCCGAAUGGGGAAACCCAGUGUGAUUCGUCACACUAUCAUUAACUGAAUCCAUAGGUUAAUGAGGCGAACCGGGGGAACUGAAACAUCUAAGUACCCCGAGGAAAAGAAAUCAACCGAGAUUCCCCCAGUAGCGGCGAGCGAACGGGGAGGAGCCCAGAGCCUGAAUCAGUGUGUGUGUUAGUGGAAGCGUCUGGAAAGGCGCGCGAUACAGGGUGACAGCCCCGUACACAAAAAUGCACAUGCUGUGAGCUCGAUGAGUAGGGCGGGACACGUGGUAUCCUGUCUGAAUAUGGGGGGACCAUCCUCCAAGGCUAAAUACUCCUGACUGACCGAUAGUGAACCAGUACCGUGAGGGAAAGGCGAAAAGAACCCCGGCGAGGGGAGUGAAAAAGAACCUGAAACCGUGUACGUACAAGCAGUGGGAGCACGCUUAGGCGUGUGACUGCGUACCUUUUGUAUAAUGGGUCAGCGACUUAUAUUCUGUAGCAAGGUUAACCGAAUAGGGGAGCCGAAGGGAAACCGAGUCUUAACUGGGCGUUAAGUUGCAGGGUAUAGACCCGAAACCCGGUGAUCUAGCCAUGGGCAGGUUGAAGGUUGGGUAACACUAACUGGAGGACCGAACCGACUAAUGUUGAAAAAUUAGCGGAUGACUUGUGGCUGGGGGUGAAAGGCCAAUCAAACCGGGAGAUAGCUGGUUCUCCCCGAAAGCUAUUUAGGUAGCGCCUCGUGAAUUCAUCUCCGGGGGUAGAGCACUGUUUCGGCAAGGGGGUCAUCCCGACUUACCAACCCGAUGCAAACUGCGAAUACCGGAGAAUGUUAUCACGGGAGACACACGGCGGGUGCUAACGUCCGUCGUGAAGAGGGAAACAACCCAGACCGCCAGCUAAGGUCCCAAAGUCAUGGUUAAGUGGGAAACGAUGUGGGAAGGCCCAGACAGCCAGGAUGUUGGCUUAGAAGCAGCCAUCAUUUAAAGAAAGCGUAAUAGCUCACUGGUCGAGUCGGCCUGCGCGGAAGAUGUAACGGGGCUAAACCAUGCACCGAAGCUGCGGCAGCGACGCUUAUGCGUUGUUGGGUAGGGGAGCGUUCUGUAAGCCUGCGAAGGUGUGCUGUGAGGCAUGCUGGAGGUAUCAGAAGUGCGAAUGCUGACAUAAGUAACGAUAAAGCGGGUGAAAAGCCCGCUCGCCGGAAGACCAAGGGUUCCUGUCCAACGUUAAUCGGGGCAGGGUGAGUCGACCCCUAAGGCGAGGCCGAAAGGCGUAGUCGAUGGGAAACAGGUUAAUAUUCCUGUACUUGGUGUUACUGCGAAGGGGGGACGGAGAAGGCUAUGUUGGCCGGGCGACGGUUGUCCCGGUUUAAGCGUGUAGGCUGGUUUUCCAGGCAAAUCCGGAAAAUCAAGGCUGAGGCGUGAUGACGAGGCACUACGGUGCUGAAGCAACAAAUGCCCUGCUUCCAGGAAAAGCCUCUAAGCAUCAGGUAACAUCAAAUCGUACCCCAAACCGACACAGGUGGUCAGGUAGAGAAUACCAAGGCGCUUGAGAGAACUCGGGUGAAGGAACUAGGCAAAAUGGUGCCGUAACUUCGGGAGAAGGCACGCUGAUAUGUAGGUGAAGUCCCUCGCGGAUGGAGCUGAAAUCAGUCGAAGAUACCAGCUGGCUGCAACUGUUUAUUAAAAACACAGCACUGUGCAAACACGAAAGUGGACGUAUACGGUGUGACGCCUGCCCGGUGCCGGAAGGUUAAUUGAUGGGGUCAGCGCAAGCGAAGCUCUUGAUCGAAGCCCCGGUAAACGGCGGCCGUAACUAUAACGGUCCUAAGGUAGCGAAAUUCCUUGUCGGGUAAGUUCCGACCUGCACGAAUGGCGUAAUGAUGGCCAGGCUGUCUCCACCCGAGACUCAGUGAAAUUGAACUCGCUGUGAAGAUGCAGUGUACCCGCGGCAAGACGGAAAGACCCCGUGAACCUUUACUAUAGCUUGACACUGAACAUUGAGCCUUGAUGUGUAGGAUAGGUGGGAGGCUUGGAAGUGUGGACGCCAGUCUGCAUGGAGCCGACCUUGAAAUACCACCCUUUAAUGUUUGAUGUUCUAACGUUGACCCGUAAUCCGGGUUGCGGACAGUGUCUGGUGGGUAGUUUGACUGGGGCGGUCUCCUCCUAAAGAGUAACGGAGGAGCACGAAGGUUGGCUAAUCCUGGUCGGACAUCAGGAGGUUAGUGCAAUGGCAUAAGCCAGCUUGACUGCGAGCGUGACGGCGCGAGCAGGUGCGAAAGCAGGUCAUAGUGAUCCGGUGGUUCUGAAUGGAAGGGCCAUCGCUCAACGGAUAAAAGGUACUCCGGGGAUAACAGGCUGAUACCGCCCAAGAGUUCAUAUCGACGGCGGUGUUUGGCACCUCGAUGUCGGCUCAUCACAUCCUGGGGCUGAAGUAGGUCCCAAGGGUAUGGCUGUUCGCCAUUUAAAGUGGUACGCGAGCUGGGUUUAGAACGUCGUGAGACAGUUCGGUCCCUAUCUGCCGUGGGCGCUGGAGAACUGAGGGGGGCUGCUCCUAGUACGAGAGGACCGGAGUGGACGCAUCACUGGUGUUCGGGUUGUCAUGCCAAUGGCACUGCCCGGUAGCUAAAUGCGGAAGAGAUAAGUGCUGAAAGCAUCUAAGCACGAAACUUGCCCCGAGAUGAGUUCUCCCUGACUCCUUGAGAGUCCUGAAGGAACGUUGAAGACGACGACGUUGAUAGGCCGGGUGUGUAAGCGCAGCGAUGCGUUGAGCUAACCGGUACUAAUGAACCGUGAGGCUUAACCUUAC